rnacentral:misc_RNA from 1 species
UCCGGUUUGGCACCGGCAGUCUCUCUAGAGUUCCCGCCAUUACGCGCUGGCAACUAGUCCCAAGGGUUGCGCUCGUUGCGGGACUUAACCCAACAUCUCACGACACGAGCUGAUGACAGCCAUGCAGCACCUGUGCACGAGCUCCGAAGAGCCCCGCAGGUUUCCCUACGAGUUCCCGUGCAUGUCAAGCCCAGGUAAGGUUCUUCGCGUUGCGUCGAAUUAAACCACAUGCUCCACCGCUUGUGCGGGCCCCCGUCAAUUCCUUUGAGUUUCAGUCUUGCGACCGUACUCCCCAGGCGGAGUGCUUAAUGUGUUGACUUCGGCACAGCAGGGGUCGAUACCCGCUACACCAAGCACUCAUCGUUUACGGCGUGGACUAC